AAUGAACGCUGGCGGCGUGCCUAACACAUGCAAGUCGAGCGAGAAAGUCCCCUUCGGGGGGCGAGUAAAGCGGCGCACGGGUGAGUAACGCGUGGGUAACCUACCUUGGAGUGGGGGAUAACCAGCCGAAAGGCUGACUAAUCCCGCAUACGUCCGGCAGGCAUACGUCUGCUGGGGAAAGAUGGCCUCUGCUUGCAAGCUAUCGCUCCUAGAUGGGCCCGCGUUAGAUUAGCUUGUUGGUGAGGUAAUGGCUCACCAAGGCUGCGAUCUAUAGCUGGUUUGAGAGGACGACCAGCCACACUGGAACUGAGACACGGUCCAGACUCCUACGGGAGGCAGCAGUGAGGAAUAUUGCGCAAUGGGGGAAACCCUGACGCAGCGACGCCGUGUGAGCGAUGAAGGC
rnacentral:rRNA from 1 species